rnacentral:lncRNA from 10 species
GCAGGUGGCCUCCAGGUGCAAAGUGGGAAGUGUGAGUCCUCAGUCUUGGGCUAUUCGGCCACGUGCCUGCCGGACAUGGGACGCUGGAGGGUCAGCAGCGUGGAGUCCUGGCCUUUUGCGUCCACGGGUGGGAAAUUGGCCAUUGCCACGGCGGGAACUGGGACUCAGGCUGCCCCCCGGCCGUUUCUCAUCCGUCCACCGGACUCGUGGGCGCUCGCACUGGCGCUGAUGUAGUUUCCUGACCUCUGACCCGUAUUGUCUCCAGAUUAAAGGUACGACAUUUGGAGGCCCCAGCGAGAAACGUCACCGGGAGAAACGUCACCGGGCGAGAGCCGGGCCCGCUGUGUGCUCCCCCGGAAGGACAGCCAGCUUGUAGGGGGGAGUGCCACCUGAAAAAAAAAUUUCCAGGUCCCCAAAGGGUGACCGUCUUCCGGAGGACAGCGGAUCGACUACCAUGUGGGUGCCCACAAAAAUUCCACCUCUGAGUCCUCAACUGCUGACCCCGGGGUCAGGUCCAGAUUUUGAACAAAUCUCGCUAGAGAUUGAACAGAGCUGCGCCUGGAUCCCGCCACAGUGAGGAGACCUGAAGACCAGAGAAAACACAGCAAGCCCCUGGAUCCUCCUGGAAUCCCCGAUCCCUCUUGCUCCCUGGCAGAGUUUUCUAGUCCCUCUUACUUGAAGCAUGUCUUUCAGAGCCCGGCACCACCCAUCUUGAGUAUCUGAUACCCCAUCAGCCUGAGUCUCUUAAAGGCCUUUAUACACAUAUGUCUACACAUAGGGAUUUGGAUGAUCUCGGGAUCCCACAUCCUCGCUGUCCCCUGUCCCCCCGCAACAUCCCCCACCAAUACCUUUCUGAAGUUUUCUAGUCCCUCCUUUUUGUUUGUGCUCCUUAAAGCCCAGCCCCAUGCCUGACUUUGGUUCCCAGUGAGCAUUGUACAUUUGUGGAUAUUAAAUCUUUGGCAAAGUCAUUUACCUGGGCUGGAA